GGGGAUAACAUUUGGAAACAGAUGCUAAUACCGUAUAACAAUUAGCAACCGCAUGGUUGCUACAAAUUUAAAAGGAUGGUUCUGCUAUCACUAAGAGAUGGUCCCGCGGUGCAUUAGUUAGUUGGUGAGGUAAUGGCUCACCAAGACGAUGAUGCAUAGCCGAGUUGAGAGACUGAUCGGCCACAAUGGGACUGAGACACGGCCCAUACUCCUACGGGAGGCAGCAGUAGGGAAUCUUCCACAAUGGGCGAAAGCCUGAUGGAGCAACGCCGCGUGUGUGAUGAAGGGUUUCGGCUCGUAAAACACUGUUGUAAGAGAAGAAUGACAUUGAGAGUAACUGUUUCAAUGUGUGACGGUAUCUUACCAGAAAGGAACGGCUAAAUACGUGCCAGCAGCCGCGGUAAUACGUAUGUUCCAAGCGUUAUCCGGAUUUAUUGGGCGUAAAGCGAGCGCAGACGGUUUAUUUAAGUCUGAAGUGAAAGCCCUCAGCUCAACUGAGGAAUUGCUUUGGAAACUGGAUGACUUGAG
rnacentral:rRNA from 1 species